UGAAAAGGCCACAUCCUUUCCAAAGGACACUA
rnacentral:piRNA from 1 species